AAAGAGAAGGGAAAUAUGAUCCAACUCGCGUAAGAGCCUAUAAUUAGUCCGUCAUGAAUCUCCUCUUACGUGUGCACCAUUUGUGCAGCAAAGACUUCGAGCUUUGGGCCAAGCCCAGUGUGGGCAGUUUACGAAUUCUGAAAAAUGGGGCGCCGGGGUGGCUCAGGCGAUUGAGCGUCCGACUCUUGAUUUGACUCAGGUAGUGAUCCCAGGGUUGUGGGAUUGAGCCCCAAGUUGGCCUCUGCACUGAGCGUGGAGCCUGUGAGAAGAGAUUCUCUCUCUCCUCCUCUCUCCUGCCCCCUCCCCUGCUCUCUCUCUCUUUCUAAAAUAAGAAGAAAAAAUUAUUCUGAAAAAAUGAAUAAACUAGAGACGUUCACUUUGUGCUUCAGCCUUCUGCUUCCUGCCUUUGGGACCUUUGAUGACCAGGACCCUUCCUCCUGGAGGAAUAACAGCAAUAGAGGGAAUCGAUCAGAAGAUGUCUUGGAAAGUGGCGUUUACCACCUCCCAACCACCUUCACCUCAACACCUUUUCCUUGGAGACUGCUAGGACCAGUGUUUCCCAAGAUACUAUGGGGCUGCUUUCAUAGCACAGAUGGCCUCCAGCCAAAACAAAACAAAACAAACAAACAAAAACCAUUAUUAUUUUAGCAAAAUAUCCAGCUGAGCUGAAGCCACAAGAGAUGUGUUGUAGAUGAUCUGUUCCCUGCAGGUGUUCUCCAGAGAAAAAUGCGAUGACUCAGGGGUGAGAUCCUGGGAGCCAGUGUGGAAGCUGAUAAGAAUUGUGAGCUCCCUUUGCCCCCCAGCCCCCACCCUGGGCGAGUCCAGAAGGGAUGAGAAAGGGCGACACCGUGGUGGGCUGGGGCAGCAGGGAUCCUGCUGGCAAGAGGGCCCCAGAAUAGGGUGGCCCAAAAGGAACUAAUCACCUGAGGGCUCAGGAUCAGAGAACAGGGUAGGAGACAGUAUACCCUAAGCCAAGAGCGAGGCUCUUUCACCCUUUCAGUGAACAAAACCCAGGAGAUACGGGAUGGGUGGAGGUGGUAGGGAUGAAAACCUUGUUCUGAAGCUGAGGACUCAGACUUGGGGUCGGUGGCUGAGACCAUCUCAAGCUGGGUCUGUGGGUGCCCCAGUUUCCCCUCCCUCUGUUGUCUACUGCUACAAAAACCUGCACGCCCGGCGGCCACAAAGCCCCAGGGUCAUACCCCAGUAAGGACUAAUUGCUCUCGUGUAUUGAUCGGUCAGCCAGGCUACUCUGCUGAUCUCGGCCGGGCUUGGCCAGGUGGUUCUUCUGGUCUCAGCUGGACCUGUUCACUCGGGUGGCGGCUGGCUGAUUUAGGAUGGCCUCGGUGGGGACGAUGAGGUGACUUAGGUCUGCUCCGUGUGGCUCUCAUCCCCCCUGUGGGACCAGCGGGUAGGUGGGCAUGCCCUCUGUACUGGAGGAGAGGGCGAGGAAUAAACUGGAGUAAAGGUGGAAGGCCUUUGACA
rnacentral:lncRNA from 1 species